UUCAUCAUCUGGGGUAGUAUGCAAUUUAAUAAAGGACAAAGAAUAGAUUAUGGAGCCAAACAGAUCCCUAUGGAGGUCUUUAUAAGUGCAGGUCCUUCUCUCUUCAACAAAUUUUAUUUGUGAAGCAUCAUAUGGGAGUCUUAGCAACUUAAAGCUCAAAUCCCUGUGCAGCAGAUGGCUCACAUAAUUUAAAAGGCAGGAGA
rnacentral:lncRNA from 1 species